UACACGGGAGCAUGGGUGAUGGUGGUACUCCUUGGCACAUGGGGUAGUGGUCCUGAAGGCCAGAUGCAAGUCGUUAUGCUCAUAGUCUCACAAACAACGCAAAGCCACACAGGUACUUAUCACCCUGGAGGAGACAUUAUAUAUUUAAUUGGAUUUUUCUGCCAUGUGCCAUGUCUUGGAUUUCACAUAGAUGAACAAGAGUCAAUUCUUGAGCGAGAUGCCCAG